rnacentral:lncRNA from 1 species
GGUGCUCACAACUAGGAAGACCUUCCUGCCCCAGAGCUGCCUCUGUCUUUCCAGAAAAACAGGAGAUCUUUUCCUAUUAAGGCAAAGAGACUACACUGAGGAGUAUGACAAGUUUUCAGCUUGAGAAGGGCUUGCAUUCUGUAGGAGAAAUGAACAAACAGCAUUAAUGUUGAUGAUGCAACAUGGAACAAGUGCUAUGACAGAGAUUAAAAAACAAGUGCUUGUUCAUUUACUGGAAAGACAGAAGACCGAUUCAGCCUGGAAAGAAAAAUCCCUGAGAAGAUGGUAUGGACUAAACAAAUAAAUGGGAUUUUAACAAAUAAAGAAUAAAAAUUAUUUUAUUUUAUAAAGGGAGGCACAAUAAUCUAAUCUGAAUAUGAUUUGGAUGUGAGUAAGGGUUGCAGGAGGUGAGUAAGGGUUGCAGGAGAUGAGGGAGGGAGUAUGUAGAUAUCUGGGGUAAAAGCAUUUCUGGCUGAGAAGACAGCAAGUGCAAAUGCCCUGAGACAGGAUCAGGGCUUUUGAGGAAUCACAAAAAAACCCAAUGAUCUUGGAAUAGAAUGUGCAAGCCAAAGUGGGUCCAAGACCAGAUCAGAGUGAUGGGAAGCGGAGGGGGGCAGAAUAUGUAGAGCCUGGGAUGUCAUUGUAAGAACCUGGGCUUUUACUCUGAGUAAAAUAUGAAGUCAUUAGAACUUUUGGAACUAAAAAGGGGCAGAACUGUCUCUCUCACUGCUGUGUUGAGAAUAGAAUGAAAGGAUCAAGGACAUAAGUCGGAAGACCAGUCAGGAGACUAUGGCGGUAUUCCAGGUAAAACAUGAUGUGUCUCAGACAAGGGUGGUGGCAAAACUAGUGGGAUUCUUAAAUUUUGGAUGUGGGAUCAAUAAAAAUGUGUUGAUGGAUUGGAAGCAUAAGAGAAAGGGCACCCAGGAAUGACCUUAAGUUCUUGGCCUGAGCAACGGGGGAAAGGAGGUUGCCAAUAAUAACUGAGAACCUGAAGCUUGGAGGAGGAGUGAUACAGGGGACGAGCAGGAGCUCAGCUAUAGACACGCUAAAUUUGAGAUACGUUUUAGUCAUUGUUUGGUGAUAUCAGGUUGGCAAUUGGAUGUACUGGUCUAGAGUCCAGGGUGGGGUCUGGGCUGAAAAUGCAUACUUGGACAUCAUCAAUUUUUGACAAGAUGGCUUUAGAGCAUCAUAAUACACAUUUAGUUGAUUGUAGAAGGAAUAUAGAAUUGUGAUGCCAAAGUUUGUGGCUUGCUCCACCAUGAUGAAUUGCUUUCUAAAUGAUUUUAAUGUUCUCUGUGUUAUAAUGAUGUGGAAUGUUUAUUGGAAUUGCACAUUUGACCGUUAACUUACUUAAAGUGGUAAAACAUUUUUACUCUAAAAAUAAAAAAUUAAAACAAUCACACAUA